rnacentral:lncRNA from 1 species
UUCUGUCACAGCUUUCGAGUCUUGAGGCUUAAUCACCCUGCUGUUCUGCCUUUUCUCUAUUUCAUGAAAGAAAGGGUAGAGAAGACACGUGUGUAUUUCACACAGACUUCUUUGGUUCCUUUUGACGAUUUCUGCGUGCCUCUUCCCUGAUUCCUCCUUGUGUUUGCUGCUAACAGCCUGCCCAUGUGAAAUGCUUCAGAACCCUGCCCUUGGGCUCACGGAGUCAUGUUGCCUACACCUGGGAAUUUGGAUGGCCCUUAGCAAGUGACUUACUCUGUGGGAGCACAAAAACCCAGCUCCCUUGGCUGGGGUCAGGACGAACACAUCCUCAUGCUAUGCACAUAUAACCAAAUCAAGGCACCAGUAUUUACUGUGGAAUUCAAGAGGAAAAGCUCAGUCUCUGUGGGAAUGGCUUAGAAACAGUGGUUCAUAAAAGCCCUGGACUCAGCCAGAGCAGGGUAGAAGAUGGCCAGAGGACAAAGAAGGCAGAGAGAUGGCAGGAGGAUCAGCUGCAGAGAGGAGUACCCUUUAUGCUGAGAGCUGCAGAGAUGACCUGCCAGCAGAGAGAAGCUAUCCUCUCCCACUGAGAGCUUCAGAGACCUGCAGAAAUGUCCAAACGACCUGCCUGCAGAGAGGAGCUAUCCUCUCCAGAGCCUCCUCUCUGCUAUGAGCUGAAUAUUCCAUAGGAUGACCUGCCUACACUGAGGAGCUACCCACUCCUCUGAGCUGUUCUAACACUAAAUAAAACUCUUCUUCACCCUUCACUUGUCUGCAUACCUCAUUCUUCCUGGAUGCAGGACAAGGACGUGGGCAAAGGUGCCAUGACCACAAAGGUUUCCAGCCAGGAAAAUCAACACCCCAGAUAUCCUGUAACAAUAGCUCUCUGCAGUCUUGACCUUU